rnacentral:rRNA from 1 species
AUUGAACGCUGGCGGCAGGCCUAACACAUGCAAGUCGAGCGGAUGAAGGGAGCUUGCUCCUGGAUUCAGCGGCGGACGGGUGAGUAAUGCCUAGGAAUCUGCCUGGUAGUGGGGGAUAACGUCCGGAAACGGGCGCUAAUACCGCAUACGUCCUGAGGGAGAAAGUGGGGGAUCUUCGGACCUCACGCUAUCAGAUGAGCCUAGGUCGGAUUAGCUAGUUGGUAGGGUAAAGGCCUACCAAGGCGACGAUCCGUAACUGGUCUGAGAGGAUGAUCAGUCACACUGGAACUGAGACACGGUCCAGACUCCUACGGGAGGCAGCAGUGGGGAAUAUUGGACAAUGGGCGAAAGCCUGAUCCAGCCAUGCCGCGUGUGUGAAGAAGGUCUUCGGAUUGUAAAGCACUUUAAGUUGGGAGGAAGGGCAGUAAGUUAAUACCUUGCUGUUUUGACGUUACCAAAAGAAUAAGCACCGGCUAACUUCGUG